rnacentral:rRNA from 1 species
AUUGGGAAUGUAAACCCAAAGGCAUAAUGAAAGUAAAGAAUUCGAUUGCGAAUUUGAGGAGAGAUCAAGGGCAGAGAUGGGGUUUCGUAAGACUCACUGUCUCUGUUUUGCGCAUCUCCUGGACGUCUAUACCUCUGAAGGUUGGGCGUACCAAGAGCAUAUACGUUGGGACCCGAAAGGUGGUGAACUAUGCCUGAUCAGAACGAAGUCAGGGGAAACUCUGAUGGAGGUUCGUAGCGAUUCUGACGUGCAAAUCGAUCGUCGGAACUGGGUAUAGGGGCGAAAGACUAAUCGAACCAUCUAGUAGCUGGUUCCCUCCGAAGUUUCCCUCAGGAUAGCUGGCGCUUGUUAAAUCAGUCUCAUCCGGUAAAGCGAAUGAUUAGAGCCUUGGGGCCGAAACGACCUCAACCUAUUCUCAAACUUUAAAUGGGUGAGAAGUCAGGCUUGCUUAAUCGAAGCUCUGACAAUGGAUGGUGAGUGCCAAGUGGGCCACUCUUGGUAAGCAGGACUGGCGCGGUGGGAUGAACCAAACGUUGGGUUAAGGCGCCCGAAUCGACGCUCAUCAGAUCCCAUAAAAGGCG